rfam:Nicotiana sylvestris Nsyl_contig7281, whole genome shotgun sequence.
UGGACAGAUUAUUGUAUUCGACUGUAUUCACGGCAUGAAAUGGGGGAUUACACUAUUUUUAAAUGGAAAGUGAAUCAAUUAACAUAAUAGACUCCU